rnacentral:rRNA from 1 species
CACACGUGCUACAAUGGCGGUGACAGCGGGAAGCAAUAUUGCGAGAUUGAGCAAAUCCCGAAAAACCGUCUCAGUUCGGAUUGUACUCUGCAACUCGAGUGCAUGAAGGUGGAAUCGCUAGUAAUCGCGGAUCAGCAUGCCGCGGUGAAUACGUUCCCGGGCCUUGUACACACCGCCCGUCACACCAUGGGAGUUGGUUCUACCCGAAGCCGGUGCGCUAACCUGGUUCGCCAGGGGGCAGCCGACCACGGUAGGAUUAGCGACUGGGGUGAAGUCGUAACAAGGUAGCCGUAGGGGAACCUGCGGCUGGAUCACCUCCUUU